rnacentral:lncRNA from 1 species
CACUGAGCUAAAUCCCUGGCUCUGACUAAUGUUUUUUAAGCAAUCUUCUUUCUUACUGCUCAGGGGCUGCAGACAUUUUUCUGACAUGGGAGGAAGCCUGUUUCCGGUUGUCACGAGGCACCCACUGUUUGCAAGGAAGGAAGGAGCAUUAGUUUCUCCCCCCUGGAGGUCAAGUGGCAUGUUCUCCACAGAACUCCACGGAGGCAGAGCUGGGUUUCCUCUUCUCUGUGUGGAAGCCACAGUCAUGCGAAUCAGAAGCCUGCCUUUCUCUCAGGACAGGCGCCCAAGCUUUAAUGAAGGAAAAAGGGAGCAAGGGGGAAAAUCCACCCAGUCCACCCUCCGGACAGGAAAAGCGUUUGCCCAGCUCCUCAGGAGGUGACAGCCAAGGCGCAGCUGUGAAGGUGGGGUGGGCGCCUCUGAGACUGGGGUCGGGAGCUGUGGAGGCGGCCCUGGGCCGGUUUCUGCUGGGUCCUGGAGAUGCAGACGCCGUGUCCAC